UGGGGAAUUUUGGACAAUGGGGGAAACCCUGAUCCAGCCAUCCCGCGUGUGCGAUGAAGGCCUUCGGGUUGUAAAGCACUUUUGGCAGGAAAGAAACGUCGCGGGUUAAUACCCCGCGAAACUGACGGUACCUGCAGAAUAAGCACCGGCUAACUACGUGCCAGCAGCCGCGGUAAUACGUAGGGUGCAAGCGUUAAUCGGAAUUACUGGGCGUAAAGCGUGCGCAGGCGGUUCGGAAAGAAAGAUGUGAAAUCCCAGAGCUUAACUUUGGAACUGCAUUUUUAACUACCGGGCUAGAGUGUGUCAGAGGGAGGUGGAAUUCCGCGUGUAGCAGUGAAAUGCGUAGAUAUGCGGAGGAACACCGAUGGCGAAGGCAGCCUCCUGGGAUAACACUGACGCUCAUGCACGAAAGCGUGGGGAGCAAACAGGAUUAGAUACCCUGGUAGUCCACGCCCUAAACGAUGUCAACUAGCUGUUGGGGCCUUCGGGCCUUGGUAGCGCAGCUAACGCGUGAAGUUGACCGCCUGGGGAGUGCGGUCGCAAGAUUAAAACUUAAAUGAAUUGAC
rnacentral:rRNA from 1 species